GACGUAGGGGGCGAGCGUUGUCCGGAUUUAUUGGGCGUAAAGAGCGUGUAGGCGGCCAGGUAGGUCUGCUGUGAAAACUCGAGGCUCAACCUCGAGACGUCGGCGGAAACCAUCUGGCUAGAGUCCGGAAGAGGAGAGUGGAAUUCCUGGUGUAGCGGUGAAAUGCGCAGAUAUCAGGAAGAACACCCGUGGCGAAGGCGGCUCUCUGGGACGGUACUGACGCUGUGACGCGAAAGCGUGGGGAGCGAACAGG
rnacentral:rRNA from 1 species